rnacentral:rRNA from 1 species
GACGAACGCUGGCGGCGUGCCUAAUACAUGCAAGUCGAACGCAGUGGGGACGGGUGAGUAACACGUGGGUAACCUCCCAUCAGAGGGGAUAACACUUGGAAACAGGUGCUAAACCGAUACUGAUGGAUGACCCCGCGGUGCAUUAGCUAGUUGGUGAGGUAACGGCUCACCAAGGCCACGAUGCAUAGCGGACCUGGGAGGGUGAUCGGCCAUAGUGGGACUGAGACACGGCCCAGACUCAUACGGGAGGCAGCAGUAGGGAAUCGUCGGCAAUGGACGGAAGUCUGCCCGAGCAACGCCGCGGUAAUAC